GAAAAAGACAGGGGAUUAGAGAAAAUGUAUCAUUCACGCAGAAGAGAUAGAAAUGUCAUAAAAAUCUCGGCUUCAGCAUAAAAACUCGGAGGAUCCCAUCAUAAAACGGAACGGAGGCCUGAGAACUGGUUCCCUUCUCUGACCGUGGGCGAAGCGGGAAAGGGGGGGAGAAACACCGCUGAAUGGAGAAAGGAACAUGAAGGAUCUUAAUGGGCCGAAGCCAUUGUGUGGUGCCAGGCAAUAAAUUAUCAAUGAACUUGAUGCUUACUGUAACUUAUCUCAGUGAACUGAAAACGGCAAUAAAAAACUCGUAUAACCAGCCAUUCAAUUCAACCAGUCAUCCAGUCUAAAUGUCUUUGAGGUUUUUUGUAGGACUGAAUGUGAAAGUUUUCAUGAAUGAAUCUUGGUUUAGGUAUAAGCCGAGUGUUGCUGAGUUAUUUUCAUCCCUGCUAUUAUUUUUUUCGCCUCUCCAUCAGGGAAGUGAUUUCAUCAUCAGGAUGUACUGACCACAUUCCAGAUGACAAAUCUGAAGUACCGUGACAAAGCGCCCCCUGUCUCAGCCCAGCGUCCCCCUCACACAGCGUAACACCGCGACCAGCAACCAAACCACAGAACCCCCCAACAGCCAGCCUCUCGCGAGAGUCAGCGGAAACCCCCACUCUCCGCACCAACUCGUCAACCACUUAUAUCUACAUUCCUCGUCUGUAAAGGACCAGGAAUUUUAAGAUUUUUAAGUGUUUAGUACUUUUCAUAUAGGUUCAAUGACAAAGAUAAAAUAACAACACAAAACUGAUGACUUAUAUAAUCUGUUGAGCUGCAAGACACUUGAUGACAGUCAGCAUAUUAGGGGAUUAAAUAAAGAACUCACUUCUUCUUUGUUUGCUUAGUAUUUUAAAGGUUUGUCUGUCUGUAAUUAGAUAAAAAUAAAAAACUCAUUUA